UUGGUUAAUCUUUGAAUGAUAUAGUCAUAUCUUACAAAAGAGACUUAAACACUCUUCUUUAAUAUUUUUUCCCAAUAUCAUAACAGGUGGCACAAAACUUGCAUAAUUUAACACUUUUAUUUUCCUUGAUGCGUCUUGUCCGGAGCAUUCUACAAAAUCCUCACAUACAUAUAGAGCUUUAUUUUCAAGAAAAAGCAAU